UAAGAAUGUAAAUAAAGAUAAAGG
rnacentral:piRNA from 1 species